GAGGACGAGGAUACUGGGGAAGAACGGAGUGCCUUUGGAGUAGUGUGGGUGCGGGGGUUCUACGAGCUCCGUGAACUGCGCAGCCAGAGCUACCCUCCCAAGCAACGCUGCAGUACAAGAAGGCCCUUGCUGUGCCGCUGCUGGAAUUCGUCCACAGAUCUGCACGGGGGAAAUUGGUCUGCACCUUUGUUUUCUCAUAAUGUCCUUAUUUUGGCUUUGAAAUUAAAGUCAUUGAGUCUUCAUAAAACCAGUUGGGGAACUUUUUGCCGUUUUCUGUCUCUGGAAGAGUUUGUGUGAGUUAACAUGGGCCUUUCGCUGGGCUGGCACAUUUGGGCCUUGACUUUUCUUGAUGGGAAAGUUUUCAAUUAUAGUUUGGACUCCUGUACUAUUUAUAGGAUCACCGGUGUUUACUGUUUCUUCUGGGGUCAACUUUGGUGGGGUGGUUUUCUGGAAAUCUGUCUGCUUGUCUCUUAAAAUUUUAAAUAAAAUUAAAUUUUAAAAAUAAUAUUUAAAAAAGUUGAGAUUAUUAAGAUAUUACAGUUCAGAGUAUCUUAUUCACAGUAUCUGCCGUCAGGUCCCGUUAAGUUUCCAGGUGCACUUUAUACAUAACAAAAAUAUAAAGAUAUGAAAAUUUUUAAAUUCCUCCAAAUUGUAUUUACCUGAUGGUGUGAUCACCACCUCACAGUCUGGCCACCGUGUCCAGGUCGCGGCGCAGCCCCCGUCGCUCCGGACCCCUGUAACGCCUGUCUCCUCCUUGUCCUUCCUGCGACCUCCUAGGUGUCUGCAGAAUCGGUUCUUCUGAAGAACGAGCUUCCAGCUGUCCGGAACCUUCGUGUCCAACGUGGUCUCCUAUGGUUUGCUUUUCUGGUCUCUCCUUUUUACUUCCCCGCUCCAACUUUGUCCCCUCGUCGCUCUAGAGCUCUGGAGCUCUGGGAUGUGUGCAGGGCCACUGACCCGCCGCCGUCCAUCUUCUGCAGCACGUGCGCUCAUGUUUUUUAAAUUUCCACCUAAGCAUGGCUCUCACCAUAUCCCGCAACUGUCCGUAUUUUUAUUAUCAUUCGGUUCACGAUGAUCAUGAACCGCGAUGUCUUCGCAGACCGCUGAGCGGCCGAGGAUUUUAUGUACCCAGUGGCGAUCAGACCACGUGCCCGCCACGCUUCACCUCCCCUGAAUCCC